GUGUGAACUUUGGGGUAUUUGUGUGCACUGUAAAGUUUAUUUCUCACUUCACUAUAAAAAUGUUUUCAAUGUAAAUGUGUUGUUUUGGGCUGUGAACAACAAUGCUUUUUUGUUUUAAAGGCAGCAGAAAUGGAAGCAAAAAACAUGAAAAUGUCAUCUGAAGUGCUUCAAACAUGUCAGCUAGUUCACCUAUGUGUUUACCAUGCCACAAGCAUGUUGAAAGAUAUGACAACUGAAGACUUUCCGACUGCAAUUGGAGAAACAGAGGAAAGCGAAAUAGAGACCAACAACUGCAUAGCCCAGGACAUAAAAGCCUGCAUUUAUCAAAACACAGCAGAUAAAGCUCUGCAUCCACACAUCAAACGUACGAAGUGGUUUCAGUGUGACCUGUGCAACAAAUGGUUACACACAGAUUGCUCUGGCAUAGACCCUAAAACAAUUACUAAAGACACAAUUACUUGGAUGUGAUCAAGAACAGCCAUAUUCUUUUCAAAGCACCCUCACAGCUUUGAAACAGGGGCUUUUGGUCAACACAGUUGUGAAUAAUGAAGAAAUUUUGUGAAAUCACAAAAAAUGUUUUUACACAAGCAUCCGAGUUAUGCACCCACACUGAAAAAUCUGUGCAAACUACGUAUCUCAGUGUUUGAUGAAGAACAGACUGAUGGAAUCAUUGACAAAGUAUUCAGUGUUUUGGCAUUGAAAAUAAAAGAUUAAUCAAGCAUUUGGAAGUCAUGACA